rnacentral:rRNA from 1 species
AACGAACGCUGGCGGCAGGCUUAACACAUGCAAGUCGAACGCACCUUUCGGGGUGAGUGGCUGACGGGUGAGUAACGCGUGGGAUUCUACCCUUCUCUCCGGGAUAGCUCCGGGAAACUGGAAUUAAUACCGUAUACGUCCUGAGGGAGAAAGAUUUAUCGGGGAAGGAUGAGCCCGCGUUGGAUUAGCUAGUGGGUGGGGUAAAGGCCUACUAAGGCGACGAUCCAUAGCUGGUCUAAGAGGAUGAUCAGCCACAUUGGGACUGAGACACGGCCCAAACUCCUACGAGAGGCAGCAGUGGGGAAUAUUGGACAAUGGGCGCAAGCCUGAUCCAGCCAUGCCGCGUGAGUGAUGAAGGCCCUAGGGUUGUAAAGCGCUUUCAGUGGGGACGAUAAUGACGGUACCCACAGAAGAAGCCCCGGCUAACUUCGUG